rnacentral:rRNA from 1 species
AUUGAACGCUGGCGACAUGCCUUACACAUGCAAGUCGAACGGCAGCACGGGUGCUUGCCCCUGGUGGCGAGUGGCGAACGGGUGAGUAAUACAUCGGAACAUGUCCUUUAGUGGGGGAUAGCCCGGCGAAAGCCGGAUUAAUACCGCAUACGAUCUACGGAUGAAAGCGGGGGACCUUCGGGCCUCGCGCUAUAGGGUUGGCCGAUGGCUGAUUAGCUAGUUGGUGGGGUAAAGGCCUACCAAGGCGACGAUCAGUAGCUGGUCUGAGAGGACGACCAGUCACACUGGGACUGAGACACGGCCCAGACUCCUACGGGAGGCAGCAGUGGGGAAUUUUGGACAAUGGGCGAAAGCCUGAUCCAGCAAUGCCGCGUGUGUGAAGAAGGCCUUCGGGUUGUAAAGCACUUUUGUCCGGAAAGAAAUCCUUGGCCCUAAUACGGUCGGGGGAUGACGGUACCGGAAGAAUAAGCACCGGCUAACUACGUG